UUGUUUGUGUUUCGUAACAAUGAUCAAGUAAAACUAUAAAUUAGUUUCACCUGUUCAACUUUAUAUUUGGAUGGAGAAUGUGAAUCCUUGAUGUAUUUUGAUGUCUCUCUUUGAUGAUGUAAUUCUCCAUUCAAAAGUUCAUUUUUUUAAUGUCUCGAUUAGCAUAUGGUAUAUUUUCCAAAAGCAAUGAGAUGUAUUAAUGCCAUUAAGCCAAUUCGCCUGGAACCA
rnacentral:lncRNA from 1 species